CCUACGGGAGGCAGCAGUGGGGAAUUUUGGACAAUGGGCGAAAGCCUGAUCCAGCAAUGCCGCGUGUGGGAAGAAGGCCUUCGGGUUGUAAACCACUUUUGUACGGAACGAAACGGCUCGCUUUAAUACAGUGGGCUAAUGACGGUACCGUAAGAAUAAGCACCGGCUAACUACGUGCCAGCAGCCGCGGUAAUACGUAGGGUGCGAGCGUUAAUCGGAAUUACUGGGCGUAAAGCGUGCGCAGGCGGUUAUAUAAGACAGUUGUGAAAUCCCCGGGCUCAACCUGGGAAUUGCAUCUGUGACUGUAUAGCUAGAGUACGGUAGAGGGGGAUGGAAUUCCGCGUGUAGCAGUGAAAUGCGUAGAUAUGCGGAGGAACACCGAUGGCGAAGGCAAUCCCCUGGACCUGUACUGACGCUCAUGCACGAAAGCGUGGGGAGCAAACAGGAUUAGAUACCCUGGUAGUCCACGCCCUAAACGAUGUCAACUGGUUGUUGGGUGCAUUAGUACUCAGUAACGAAGCUAACGCGUGAAGUUGACCGCCUGGGGAGUACGGCCGCAGGUUGAACGUCAAAUGAAUUGACGG
rnacentral:rRNA from 1 species